rnacentral:lncRNA from 1 species
ACAAAUAUUGCUGGGAUUUUUUUCACAUUUUAAAAUUUAUUUUUGAUGGACAGGAGCACGUGCUCCCGGAAGCCGAAUUGCAUUUCCCGAGAAAUCAUCCAAUAACACAAGCAGAAUAUUAGGCAAAGCAGUUACUUAUGUGCGCAGCUGCUGCGACGAGUCAACAUUACAUGAGUUGGCUAAUUUCGCUCUUUAUGGGGCGACAAAACGCGACCUGCAGCGCUCGUUUGAUUGCCGGUGCAUCUGAGGCAAUAGCAGGUCGGGUAGUCAACCGGGCAGAAGCUGCCGUUGUAGCCAGCAUCUUUGCAUUGUUUGUCGCAAGCUCGAAGGUCACGGCAGCUCAGAUCCUUGGGCGCGGGGUAUGACUCGCAGCAUCGUUUUUCGUCCCCCAUAUCUACAUAACCAAACAUAAACUAAAUUGAUUAAGAGCAUAUGUAAGAGAUAAAUGCACAUGUGCAAAAGAUAUUUGAACACUUUUUUUAGUUGAGAUAUUUAAACAGUUGUGAUGUACUUUAAGUGUAGAAUGUUUGAUCUCGGUAUCAAGAUUCAGACAAAUGCAUAUAUAAACUGAAUGACCAUAUUUUGCUUGGACGGCUAUCAAUCGACAAGCUAUUUGUCAAUCUGCACAAUCGUAGUCGCUCUCACAUAAUUGUAGAAAACCUGAAUUCUUUACUUACCCGAGGACACGGCGCUUACCAACAACAAGACGAACAUGAAGUUGGCAGCGAUUUUGCAAGGCAUGAGGAAAACUAGAUUAAUAGGUGUUUGUUUCUUUGAGGUGUAGGGUAAACACCGGUGUAUAUGUCUGGUAGACUGGUAUAGCUUGCAAGCGUGGGUUUAUAAAGAACAACGAGAAG